rnacentral:rRNA from 1 species
UACGUAGGGGGCAAGCGUUGUUCGGAAUUACUGGGCGUAAAGAGCGUGUAGGCGGCCAGGUAGGUCCGUUGUGAAAACUCGAGGCUCAACCUCGAGACGUCGGCGGAAACCCUCUGGCUAGAGUCCGGAAGAGGAGAGUGGAAUUCCUGGUGUAGCGGUGAAAUGCGCAGAUAUCAGGAAGAACACCCGUGGCGAAGGCGGCUCUCUGGGACGGUACUGACGCUGAGACGCGAAAGCGUGGGGAGCAAACAGG